AGACGAGGAAAAAGAGAAGACGACGUGGAGAAAGUGCAAGUGGAUAACAGAAAAUCAAACGUUUCCUUCAAUGGCGUCUUCUCUAUUUACUUCGUCUACAAAAUUUCAGAUUAUCCUGUUCAAAAACCAACCUGGUCAACUCCAUAGAUGGCAAUUUUUACGUGCACAUUCCCACCGCUCUCCCACACCCUUCAUGAAAAUAACAAAUUCCCAGUUUGGCAAAACCAAUAAGGUCAAUUUGCAAUUUGGUAUUGCCAAGGAGAGGUUGUGGGUGGCUACCCCUGACCCUGUAAAAGAGUUUCCUUGGAGAAAGGCAGGGGAUGUGCUGCUAAAGCGAUUACUGUUUAUUGGACAGACAGCACUGAAAUGGUCCCUCAUAACAAUCUUCAUUUUUAGCUCUGUAUCAGAUGUCAUAUUUUCCAUCUCUAGAAACCAGGAGUUGAUGAUUCCUGUUGGUCUUCUUAUUGGCUGUUUGAUCACUGAUUAUUUGAAAGAAAUACUGCAGGAAAUGUUACAGGCCAGUGAGGCAAGUUGUCUAGUUCUACUUAUAUGUUCUUGCCAUAUGUUUAGUAGUUCUUUCACAAUAAUAUAUAAAAAAUUGUGCUGCUGUGUGAUGUAAUUUGUUUUGGUUGUUAAACAGGAUAAGGGAUUGAACAUACUCCUUGUGAGUAUCAGUUGCUUCUUUGUUCUUGUUAAGGUCAUCUCUGCAUAUUUUGCAGCACGCACACAAGUGUUUCUUUUGCAUGUUGCAAAUGGCGGGUUGCUGCAAGUUUUAUGGUUGUGGAGACAGCUAUUGAAAGAAAAUGAUGAUAGAAACAAAGAGAAUUUCUUCACAGGUGACCAAGAUUCCUCAUUAGCAGCUGGUGCUAAGGAAUAAAGCCAAUACUAUUCUUUACUUCUGUAUAUUGAACAUCUCUGUAAUUGUAUCCGGUGUUGAACCAUAUGUUCAUGGAAUGAGAUUUACCAAAUUAUUCGGAGGAUUGCAUACAGGAGGAUACCAUUUUAGGCAUGACCUGGUGAGAACUUAUGUACGUUGAACAUCUGCAUAGCAUCUUCUAACCCAUUUUAACUAUACAAUUUAGUAGUACAAAUGUUUCCCACAUCAUAUUUGAACGGCCUUGUCGAAAGUAAA
rnacentral:misc_RNA from 1 species